UUGGGGCAUCAUCCCCUUCCCCAGCAGCCAAGAGAGAAUGGCUGUGUCUUGUCAGUUGCACCUUAGACUCAGUUCUGUGGUGUCUGGUGUUCUGUAUGACCUUGUGAACAUUUAUUUUCAUUUUCUUGGUCUCAGCCAACUCACUAAUAAAAGGCAGACAAUUAAUCCUGCUGCUCUUCUCCCUCCUGUUCAUAACAUGUGACUGAAUGUGGCUGUCCUUCCUCCCUUCUGCCCCAUUCUCUUCCCUCCCUGGGCUCACGCCAAGGCCUUCUGGGUCAGUACUGUGCUUGCUGCCUGAAAGCCCGGGUGUCUGCCUUGGCCUGACCACUGCCGGGGCCUUUAGAUGCUGGGUCAGACCAAAGCCUGUGUUCCCGCCUUGCAGCACAGCCAAGGCCCAGCUCAGAGGAGGAGCACUGAAGCGUGUGCUUUCAGGAGUGCGCAUGAACAUGCAUUCCCCAGCUGUUCCUUGCAGACUUCUGCUUUGUGCCUCAUUCCCGCACUGGUUCUGCUCAGUCUGGUGAUUGAGUUUGUCUUCUGAACAGUAUUUUAAAAUCAAGGGACACACCUCGAGCUGGCUCCUAUGAUUACAUUUCUGACCUUGGCUGUGCCUCAGUUGUUUCUCAGGGACCAGGAUGGCCCAUCCAUUGGGGUCAGUGAAUGUGCUGCUCCAAGAGCUGGCCCGAGACAGUUUGCCAGCUCCUAGGACCCUCCUCUCCCUGAGACUCACAGGAGGCAGGUGAGGUUCAAGCCUGGGGCUCUGGCUGUCGCAGCCCUCCGCAGGGAAGAGGGCCGAGCUGAGCAGGGGAAGGAGGAGCCCAGGGCUCCCCAUCAGUUAAGGCAGUCUGUGUCCCUCCUUAAGGACUUGUUUCUUAUCUUGAAAAAUAUGGACAGAGGCCUUAUUCAUCCUUCUUUUCAUAUGUAUGGUAUCUGCACAGAUCAUGUUCAUCAACCCCUCAGUUCAACCUAUAAGGGCACGUUUUUGUCUGUGACUCGAUCUGAGGGCCACAUGGGAAGAAUGGAGCUGCCCACCUUCACCCCUGACUCAGCCGGGGUCUCCUGCGGGUCAUCUCCACUUCUGUACCCAAUGCAGGGGCCAUGUUUCAUUCAUCUCUGAGACACCAGACACAACUCAUGUACAAAUGGGCCAAGCCGAAAAUCUGUAGUGAGGACCUUGAGGGGGCAGUGAAGCUGCCUGCCUCUGGUGUGAAGACCCACUGCCCACCCUGCAACCCAGGCUUCUUCAAAACCAACAACAGCACCUGCCAGCCCUGCCCAUAUGGUUCCUACUCCAAUGGCUCAGAUUGUACCCGCUGCCCUGCGGGGACUGAACCUGCUGUGGGAUUUGAAUACAAAUGGUGGAACACGCUGCCCACAAACAUGGAAACGACCGUUCUCAGUGGGAUCAACUUCGAGUACAAGGGCAUGACAGGCUGGGAGGUGGCUGGUGAUCACAUUUACACAGCUGCUGGAGCCUCAGACAAUGACUUCAUGAUUCUCACUCUGGUUGUGCCAGGAUUUAGACCUCCACAGUCGGUGAUGGCAGACACAGAGAAUAAAGAGGUGGCCAGAAUCACAUUUGUCUUUGAGACCCUCUGUACUGUGAACUGUGAGCUCUACUUCAUGGUGGGUGUGAAUUCUAGGACCAACACUCCUGUGGAGACGUGGAAAGGUUCCAAAGGCAAACAGUCCUAUACCUACAUCAUUGAGGAGAACACUACCACGAGCUUCACCUGGGCCUUCCAGAGGACCACUUUUCAUGAGGCAAGCAGGAAGUACACCAAUGAUGUUGCCAAGAUCUACUCCAUCAAUGUCACCAAUGUUAUGAAUGGCGUGGCCUCCUACUGCCGUCCCUGUGCCCUAGAAGCCUCUGAUGUGGGCUCCUCCUGCACCUCUUGUCCUGCUGGUUACUAUAUUGACCGAGAUUCAGGAACCUGCCACUCCUGCCCCUCUAACACAAUUCUGAAAGCCCACCAGCCUUAUGGUGUCCAGGCCUGUGUGCCCUGUGGUCCAGGGACCAAGAACAACAAGAUCCACUCUCUGUGCUACAACGAUUGCACCUUCUCACGCAACACUCCGACCAGGACUUUCAACUACAACUUCUCCGCUUUGGCAAACACUGUCACUCUUGCUGGAGGGCCAAGCUUCACUUCCAAAGGGCUGAAAUACUUCCAUCACUUUACCCUCAGUCUCUGUGGAAACCAGGGUAGGAAAAUGUCUGUGUGCACCGACAAUGUCACUGACCUCCGGAUUCCUGAGGGUGAGUCAGGGUUCUCCAAAUCUAUCACAGCCUACGUCUGCCAGGCAGUCAUCAUCCCCCCAGAGGUGACCGGCUACAAGGCCGGGGUUUCCUCACAGCCUGUCAGCCUUGCUGAUCGACUUAUUGGGGUGACAACAGAUAUGACUCUGGAUGGAAUCACCUCCCCAGCUGAACUUUUCCACCCGGAGUCCUUGGGAAUACCGGACGUGAUCUUCUUUUAUAGGUCCAAUGAUGUGACCCAGUCCUGCAGUUCUGGGAGAUCAACCACCAUCCGCGUCAGGUGCAAUCCACAGAAAACUGUCCCUGGAAGUUUGCUGCUGCCAGGAACGUGCUCGGAUGGGACCUGUGAUGGCUGCAACUUCCACUUCCUGUGGGAGAGCGCGGCUGCUUGCCCGCUCUGCUCAGUGGCUGACUACCAUGCUAUCGUCAGCAGCUGUGUGGCUGGGAUCCAGGUGGGUUUCCCUCUGAUCGGGCACUUCCAUGAGAGAAGGGAAUGGGAGAUCUGAGUUCCUUGUUUUUCUCCCCAACAGAAGACUACUUACGUGUGGCGAGAACCCAAGCUAUGCUCUGGUGGCAUUUCUCUGCCUGAGCAGAGAGUCACCAUCUGCAAAACCAUAGAUUUCUGGCUGAAAGUGGGCAUCUCUGCAGGCACCUGUACUGCCAUCCUACUCACCGUCUUGACCUGCUACUUUUGGAAAAAGAAUCAAAAACUAGAGUACAAGUACUCCAAGCUGGUGAUGAAUGCUACUCUCAAGGACUGUGACCUGCCAGCAGCUGACAGCUGCGCCAUCAUGGAAGGCGAGGAUGUAGAGGACGACCUCAUCUUUACCAGCAAGAAGUCACUCUUUGGGAAGAUCAAAUCAUUUACCUCCAAGAGGACUCCUGAUGGAUUUGACUCAGUGCCGCUGAAGACAUCCUCAGGAGGCCCAGACAUGGACCUGUGAGAGGCACUGCCUGCCUCACCUGCCUCCUCACCUUGCAUAGCACCUUUGCAAGCCUGCGGCGAUUUGGGUGCCAGCAUCCUGCAACACCCACUGCUGGAAAUCUCUUCAUUGUGGCCUUAUCAGAUGUUUGAAUUUCAGAUCUUUUUUUAUAGAGUACCCAAACCCUCCUUUCUGCUUGCCUCAAACCUGCCAAAUAUACCCACACUUUGUUUGUAAAUU
rnacentral:sRNA from 1 species